rnacentral:tRNA from 6 species
GGGCCUGUAGCUCAGUUGGGAGAGCGCUAGAAUCGCACUCUAGAGGUCGCAGGUUCGAUCCCUGUCAGGUCCACCA